rnacentral:misc_RNA from 1 species
AGCAGCCGCGGUAAUUCCAGCUCCAAUAGCGUAUAUUAAAGUUGUUGCAGUUAAAAAGCUCGUAGUUGAAUUUCGGGGUCUGUCCGUCGGUCGGGCUUCACGGUCCGUACUGGUGUGAUGGGUUCCUACCUUCUGAAUAACCGGCAUGCCAUUCAGUUGGUGCGCCGGGGAAGCAGAGCUAUUACCUUGAAAAAUUAGAGUGCUUAAAGCAGGCUAGUGCUUGAAUAGAUUAGCAUGGAAUAAUAAAAUAGGACGGCAUGGUUCUAUUUUGUUGGUUUCUAGGAUCACCGUAAUGAUUAAUAGGGAUAGUUGGGGGCAUUAGUAUUCAAUUGUCAGAGGUGAAAUUCUUGGAUUUAUUGAAGACUAACUUCUGCGAAAGCAUUUGCCAAGGAUGUUUUCAUUAAUCAAGAACGAAAGUUAGGGGAUCGAAGACGAUCAGAUACCGUCGUAGUCUUAACCAUAAACUAUGCCGACUAGGGAUCGGACGAUGUUAAUUUUUUAAUGACUCGUUCGGCGCCUU